GUGGAUAUAGUACAAGUGGAAUGGAAGGUUAGUGUGUGUGUGUGGAUAUAGUACAAGUGGAAUGGAAGGUUAGUGUGUGUGUGUGUGUGUGUGUGUGUGUGUGUGUGUGUGUGUGUGUGUGUGUGUGUGUGUGUGUGUGUGUGUGUGUGUGUGUGUGUAUAGUACUAGUGGAAUGGAAGGUUAGUGUGUGUGUGUGUGUGUGUGUGUGUGUGUGUGUAUAUAGUACUAGUGGAAAGGAAGGUUAGUGUGUGUGUGUGUAUAGUACUAGUGGAAUGGAAGGUUAGUGUGUGUGUGUGUGUGUGUGUGUGUGUGUGUGUGUGUGUGUGUGUGUGUGUUGUUGAGUAUAGUACUAGUGGAAUGGAAGGUUUAGUGUGUGGUGUGUGUGUGUGUGUGUGUGUGUGUGUGUGUGUGUGUGUGUGUGUGUGUGUGUGUGUGUGUGUGUGUAUAGUACGAGUGGAAUGGAAGGUCAGUGUGUGUGUGUGUGGAUAUAGUACUAGUGGAAUGGAAGGUUAGUGUGUGUGUGUGUAUAGUACUAGUGGAAUGGAAGGUUAGUGUGUGUGUGUGUGUGUGUGUGUGUGUGUGUGUGUGUGUGUGUGUGUGUGUGUGUGUGUGUGGAUAUAGUACUAGUGGAAUGGAAGGUCAGUGUGUGUGUGUGUGUGGAUAUAGUACUAGUGGAAUGGAAGGUUAGUGUGUGUGUGUGUGUAUAUAGUACUAGUGGAAUGGAAGGUUAGUGAGUGUGUGUGUGUGUGUGUGUGUGUGUGUGUGUGUGUGUGUGUGUGUGUGUGUGUAUAUAGUACUAGUGGAAAGGAAGGUUAGUGUGUGUGUG